rnacentral:rRNA from 1 species
GACGAACGCUGGCGGCGUGCUUAACACAUGCAAGUCGAACGGAAAGGCCCUGCUUUUGUGGGGUGCUCGAGUGGCGAACGGGUGAGUAACACGUGAGUAACCUGCCCUUGACUUUGGGAUAACUUCAGGAAACUGGGGCUAAUACCGGAUAGGAGCUCCUGCUGCAUGGUGGGGGUUGGAAAGUUACGGCGGUUGGGGAUGGACUCGCGGCUUAUCCGCUUGUUGGUGGGGUAGUGGCUUUCCAAGGCUUUGACGGGUAGCCGGCCUUGGAGGGUGACCGGCCACAUGGGUACUGCGAUACGGCCCAGUCUCCUACGGGAGGCAGCAGGGGGAAAUAUUGCGCAAUGGCGGGAAGCCUGUUGCAGCGGCGCCGCGUGCGUGAAGACCGCCUUCGGGGGGUAAACCGCUGUCGCCUGUGACGAAGAGUGAGUGACGGUAAUGAGUAAAGAAGCAACGGCUAACUACGUG